CUGGUGAACAUCAUCAUGGUUGUCUUGCCAGUAGGAACUGGUAAUCAGGAUGGCAGUGAGGCAGGCACUUGUUGUCAGAAGAUUGGGCCUGGUUUUUAAAAGCCACAGAAGCAUCUUUAGAUGAUUAGAAUCCAAGGGUCCAACAGCUUUGCAACAACACCGUAAAUAUUCUGUGCUGGAUGGACAGGCACCAAAUGGGGACAUUCCCUACUGUUGUGUGAUGAGAAAGCUGGCACUUCUGAGGACUUCCAAAACAAAUAAAUACUCCAUAUGCCAGAAGGAAAAGCAUGGGAAAUGCCUGUUCCAGUUGGAGAUGUGAAUGUCUUUCCAUGGGAAGCUGAGAUGCAACUGAUAGUCCUGGGUGAGAGCAAGUCAGGAAUAUGGAAGGGAAUGCAACAAUACUGUACCUCUCAGGGAACUCGGAAAGGAAAUUGAAAAGGCAAGUUACAAACUGAAAGAAAAUAUUUAUAAAAAGAUCAUUUGAAAAAAGAACUUGCAUGUGGAAUAAAGACAUUGUUACAACUAAAAAGUAAGAGAAUCUCAUACAAAAUAGGUAUUCCAGCAAAGAAAAGAUAAAGAUGACAAAUACAUGAAAAAAUGCUGAACAUCAUUAUUAAGGAGUUGCAAGUUAAAAAGCAUGGUAAGAUACCACUCUCACCCACUCGAAUGACCAAAACUAAACAGAUAACCAUACCAUUUGUUGGU